UACGUAGGGUGCGAGCGUUAAUCGGAAUUACUGGGCGUAAAGUGUGCGCAGGUGGCCGCGCAAGUCGAGUGUGAAAUCCCCGGGCUUAACUUGGGAAUUGCGCUCGAAACUACGUGGCUCGAGUGUGGCAGAGGGGGGUGGAAUUCCACGUGUAGCGGUGAAAUGCGUAGAUAUCGGGAGGAACACCAGUGGCGAAGGCGACUACCUGGCCUGUUCUUGACGCUGAGGCGCGAAAGCUAGGGGAGCAAACGGG
rnacentral:rRNA from 1 species